CCUCUAAUAGCUCAGUUGGUAGAGCACUCGUCUAGGUAACGAGAGGUGCCCACCCCAGUUCAAUUCUGGGUGGAAGAA
rnacentral:tRNA from 1 species